GAAGACUCUCGAAUGCUCCCCUUAUUUCUGCAUGCCUCAAUUUAAUUGUUUACAAAGUUGACGUAAUUUGAUAUCAUGUACUAGCUUUUGAAAUGCACACUAAGAUAGAUUUGGUUAAGAGGGGUGCCAGAUUAUCAUUUGAGCGUAUUUUUCUGACUUCGAUUUCACAAUUCUUCUUAAGCUCAUGUGUGUAGAAAAGUGUUCGUGAUAUGUGUUCAGUCAUGUUCUCUUGGAUGUAUACUCUUUUAGAGCAUUUCCAGCAGCUAAAGCUGGACUCGGGCUGGGGGCGUUUGGGCAAAAAAGUGGUUUCUAGCAACAAAAUCCAGCCCGGGCAAAUGGUGGGACCCAGCAGACUGGGCUGGCCCGAGGGCAAGGCUGAUGUCAGCGUGCUGACGUCACGUCGACGUCAGCCCUGCGUCCAAAUUUUUUUAAAUCGUCCACAUGGCGAGCGCUAGGCUCUCCGAUCAUAUUUUUUCCAACAAUCCAACAGUAGCCAAUGUUUGUGCAAUAAAAAAAAUUGAAAAAAAUGGAUAAAAAUUUAAAAAAAUACCAAAAAAAUUACUGAUUUUUUUUUUCUCUAUACCUUAUUUCCAUUUUCAACAUUUAAGUAAAUGUCUCUAUACCAAAAAAAAUGGAUAAAUGUCUUUGUCCUUUUACUUUUAUUUAUUUUUAUAUUACUCCAUUUACUUAAGUUUACAAUGUAAAUAAGGAAGUACCCCCUAUUUGGAUUCAAAUAAAAAUAGUAGAAAAUCA
rnacentral:lncRNA from 1 species